UACGUAGGGUGCGAGCGUUGUCCGGAAUUAUUGGGCGUAAAGGGCUCGUAGGCGGUUUGUCGCGUCGGGAGUGAAAACCUCGGGCUUAACUCGGGGCUUGCUUUCGAUACGGGCAGACUGGAGGCUGGUAGGGGCAAGCGGAAUUCCUGGUGUAGCGGUGAAAUGCGCAGAUAUCAGGAGGAACACCGGUGGCGAAGGCGGCUUGCUGGGCCAGUUCUGACGCUGAGGAGCGAAAGCGUGGGGAGCGAACAGG
rnacentral:rRNA from 1 species